rnacentral:rRNA from 1 species
AUACGGAGGGUGCAAGCGUUAUCCGGAAUCAUUGGGUUUAAAGGGUCCGCAGGCGGGAAAAUAAGUCAGUGGUGAAAGCCUACAGCUCAACUGUAGAACUGCCAUUGAUACUGUUUUUCUUGAGUAUAGAUGAAGUGGGCGGAAUAUAUCAUGUAGCGGUGAAAUGCAUAGAUAUGAUAUAGAACACCGAUUGCGAAGGCAGCUCACUAAACUAUUACUGACGCUCAGGGACGAAAGCGUGGGGAGCGAACAGGAUUAGAAACCCUAGUAGUCC